CCUAAUAGCGCAAUCCACCGGAUAUAUAGUGACUUUUUCAACGGUUGAAAAAGUCACUAUAUAUCCGGUGGAUAGCGCUAUUAGG